AGCAUCUUAGCCCAGGGGGAGAGCGCCGGGCUCAUAUUGCAUGACACCCGGAGGUCGCUGGAUCGAAACCAGCAGAUGCUA